rnacentral:lncRNA from 10 species
CUCAUUGGGUGCGUGAGAAGGGAAGGGUGGAUCCUAAAAGAUCCCUUUUACAGUUGGAUUCUCCCUCUUGGAUCUGGCUCUGCCUUAGUCCGACCUAGAGGGAUCAGCUUCGCCCACGCCCACUCUCACCCGGAACCUUUCAUCUCUUAUUGAAGCCUUUUAGGCCCAUUGGGAUGUUCAUUAGAACUCUGAAAACUACAGUUCUCCCCUUUAUGAGGACUGCACCACAGCUCGCCCUCUCCUGGGUUCCGGGUCUCAGUUUGUUGUCCAGGCCAGAGUGCAGUGGCGCAAUCUCGGCUCACUGCAGCCUCAACAUCCUAGGCUCAAGCCAUCCUCCCACCUCACCCUCCCGAGUAGCUGGAAGUACAGGCUCGUCUUGAACUCUGGGCUGAAGUCAUCCACCUGCCUCGGCCUCCCAAAGUGCUAGGAUUACAGGCCUUAGCCACCUCACCUAGUCCUCUGAAAUUUCUAAAUAAGCCAGUGCUGAAGGAUCUAGCCCAACUUCUACCAAACUUUGUUACCUUUUCCCCUUCAGUGGUAGGAAUAGACAUGAUUUAUUUAGCAAGGGUGAGUGCUUUUGUUGAAUUUUAGUUUGGGGUUUAUUAUUACACAAACUAAAGACAGCGGGGCAAUUUGGAAAGAUAACUAGGCAGCUGCAUGACUUCAGGCAGGUGUCCUAACACUGUACUCUUAAAGUGAGGGGAGUGAACUGGAAGAUAUCCUGUGUCCUCAUAGUUUGAACAUUCUGUGGUUCGCUCAUCAAUAUGACUACACUGUAUAGUCAUAGCACACAUUUGAGGUCUUGAAGAAGAGAGAUGAGGCUUGUUCUAAAAAGCAUCCAGAGUAGGUCUUGAAAAAGGAUUUCUGUUUAAGUAAAGACCUAAAACAAUGCUCAGAUUCCUAUUAUACAUAGGAUCCAUGAACUGGAAAAGAUAUGGAUGAGUCUGA